rnacentral:lncRNA from 1 species
AGAAGUGAGUUUCCCAUAGACACAGUGUUGGAACCAGGAUCUGAACUUCAACUUUGGUCUCCUUUUCAGAGCACCAGCUACUUUCACCCAGGACAGGAACCUAUCUGGAUGAUGGACCCAGGACCAUAAAUUUGUGUUGGAAUGGUCCUUGGAAGUCAUCUACUUCAACAUCAACAUUUUACAAAAGUGGACACUGAGACCAAGAGAAGUUGGGUGACUUGUCUAAGGUCACACAGAGAGAGGAGAAGAAGGAGAAACUUGGCUUUUGAGUUGGUUGUCUCUCUCUGAGAGUUUAAGCCGGCCAGGAGAAACUGAAAGACCUUGAAGGUGUCGUAAAAGAAGAAAGAAGAUCUUAGCUGUUGUCCUCCAUUUAUUUAACUGUUCCUCUUCUCACCUUUGUUAUUGGACUAUUUUCAUAACCCUCUCAAAUUCCCCUUAUAGAUUAGGGAAACCCUCAUCCUACUUUUCUCAGUUUCCCAUCCUGUUAUCCCAAUAAACCCCUAUUUGAAAAAGGAAAAGAAAAGAAG